GAAUAGCUCAGUUGAUUAGAGUGUGGUGCUGAUAACGCCAAGGUUGCAGGUUCAAUCCCCAUAAGGGACA